AACAAACGCUGGCGGCGUGCCUAAUACAUGCAAGUCGAACGGGGAAAGCUUUCGGGUGAGUACUAGUGGCGCACGGGUGAGUAACGCGUGGAUAAUCUGCCUUAGAGUGGGGGAUAACUAGUCGAAAGAUUAGCUAAUACCGCAUAAGACCACAAGAACUGCGGUUCAAGAGGUCAAAGGUUUUUCGCUCUAAGAUGAGUCCGCGUAAGAUUAGCUAGUUGGUGAGGUAACGGCUCACCAAGGCAACGAUCUUUAACUGGUCUGAGAGGAUGAUCAGUCACACUGGAACUGAGACACGGUCCAGACUCCUACGGGAGGCAGCAGUAAGGAAUAUUGCACAAUGGAGGAAACUCUGAUGCAGCGACGCCGCGUGAGUGAUGAGGGCCUUCGGGUCGUAAAGCUCUGUCGCAGGGGAAUAACACAAUGAAUGUACCCUGUAAGAAAGGAUCGGCUAACUUCGUGCCAGCCGCCGCCGUAAUAC
rnacentral:rRNA from 1 species